rnacentral:misc_RNA from 1 species
GGCUCUCGCCGGGACAUGCACGCCGCGCGUACUCCAACAUCGCCAUUAUCGACGUUGCGUCCCCCCCCCGCACCCCUCAUCUCAAGCUCGAUCCUUCACACUCUGUGUAUGCGUGCAAGCCUGCCAUCAUGCCCUUCUCCAACGUCUCCGCGGAGGCGGCGCGUGCUCUGUGCGAGCUCUCCGAAGGGCGGCAGGUGUCUUGCAAGACAACGGCCUCUGCGAGCAGCAGCACCGUCCACACAGAGAGCGAAAGCAGUGCGGGCAUCGACACCCUCUUCCUCGAUGCGGUGGUGGGCGUCGUCGAGGCGGUGCUCAUGCGCUACGCGUUGACGCGCGUGUGCGACACGGCCACGACCGCCAUGAGGUCGACGGAAAAUGGCAAGCGCAAUCAAGUGAACGUCGGUAUCAGCGGUGGCGCGCCGACAGUGGAACGGCCGUACCCGUUCCCGUCGCUGUUUCUGCACACGCCUCGAGCGUACGUGCACCUUCACCGAGGACGCACCCAUGCAUGUGGCUGCUCACCAUCACCCGCGAGCGAGGGGGUGGAUGCGGCACGCGACGAGCCCUGUGCUGACGACUCGCUUUCCCUCAGCAAUGCCCACUGCACACCUGGCAUGCCACCUACGUCUCUCCUGUACAAGAACGCGUCUGUCAGCACAGCCUCACACGCAACAACGCACGAGCAAGCCGCUGUGCACAGCGCGAAGGACUGCCGGAUGCAGCCGGCGCCGUUACCGUAUGACAGCCUUGCUCGGUUCCCGCCGCAGCUUCAUCGCAACACAUCCGCCGUGCUGCACAACCCGGCCUUGGACAACGCGCGCCGGAUGGUGAACGUGUCGCUCACGCCAGAGCCGAUCGGGAGGGCAGAAUUGGUGGCCGCGAGUGACAAGUCUGCGCCCCCGUCGUCGUCGUCGGUGCAGGAGAUGGUGCAGGUGGUGUUACAAGGCGAGGCCGCCGUGGUCGUCACCACCACCGUCUCCUCAUCUGACGGUGCCGCCGCGGCUACAUGGUUCUCUACAGGCCUCCAACCGGCGUCCAUGACGGAGACCAGGAACUGCUGCGUAGCCGAGGAACGCACGCUGCAACCUGCAGCACCGGACACAGCAGCUCUCAGCGAGGCACCGCUGCUUUUCAGCCCCGACGCAACGUCGUGCGCGUUGGUCGCGUGUCGAGUGGCACUGCAUGAAGGGUGGCAGUCGCUGAUAGCCCGCUCUGCUGCAGCUGCGACAGCUGUUGUUGAUGUCUCUCCGCAAGCAACGGGCACCGUCGCAGGCGCGAGUCGUUUUUUGAGUGCGUGUGGACGCACCGCUUCUGCUGCCAUGGCUCACCUCGACCGUGAGGAGGGUGUCGCGGAGAUGCUGCGCCAGCUCGUGUGGGAAAGCGCCGUGCCCGCCGUCCUUCACGCGGUGCACCAACACUACGCGACGUGCGUGACCGCCGCCAGCGUUCGAGGAAGCCAUGAAGACAGCGACGACACGGCCUCCUGUACGGCUGCCGUCAUGGUGCUGAAGGACACGCUGGCGCGCUUGUGGUGUGCGGUGGCGCCGCCGGCAAACCCCGCGUCCACGCCGCCUCCGCCCUUGCUUCAGGUAGACUGGUACGUGGUGGGCGCCAUCCGCAUGCACAAUAGCGCCGCGCCGGUGCUGGCGAACGUGUUCCGGCAGUUUUUCGCCGCCUCGCCCGUGCCCACGCCCACCAUUCCGCACCUUCUUGCAGAGGAAGUUCAUCUCAACACGUCUCACCCGCAGAUCACGAGCUCGACCACCGCGACGACCUCGUGCACGCUCAACGUCGCCCACCGCCUCCGCGAGGAUGGUUUGUGUUUCUGGUCCUUCAACACCACCUUCCAGCCCUGGUGCGUCGAGCCGGAUGGUCGGCGGCUUUAUGCCUACCCCAUCACAUGGGGGUUGUUGCUGAGCGUGGCGACGGGGCACAGCUGGCCCGCCACCGUGCACCCCGGCACCCGCGCGUACCCACUUCGCGAAAUUCGAUCUCUCUCCGUGGAAAACGGCUACCAAUGGGUGACACCACUGUCCUCCGAUGCGCUGUACGGUACGCGCCGUGCAUCGACUGAUGUCGGGCGCGCAGGCGGGCUGCAGCUCGCAUGCAACAUCGUGCCCUCCACUACUGUCGCGCAGCGCGUGAACAAGAGUGCGGCGUCGACGCUGCCGUCGCUGCGGCUGUGGUCCGCGCUAGACGCCCUCGCCACACCAUCCAGCGGCGCGGAGCGUGAUCGAAAGGCAGUCUCACGGCAAGAGACGACGACUCCGACUACCAAGUCGGUGACGGUCACCGUCCACUCCCCGGCGGCGACGGCCACGGUGACCUUGGCCUCGUACGUGCGGACGCUGCUGAGCCGGCAGGAGUCAUGGUGGGCGCGGGUACGGCGUUGCCAGAUGGCGCCAUCCGAAGCUGGCGCGUUGGCCGUGCAGGUGCCGCCGACGGCUUCAUCGGCACACAAGCGGGUUCUCCCGUUGCUACUGCGGCGCCGCGCCUCGUUUGCCAGGCCGUCUCCUGCACAACGGCAUCAGCAAUAUGACGAGGAGGACGGCAGGGGCAACGACGACGACGACAAUAGAGACCCCCUCGUGCACUGGAGCGGCGUUGAUGCGACGGUGGUGCGCACGCUGCUUUCACGCCCGCGAGAGAGCCUCCUGCAGGGUUCCACCACCCCGCACUGUGAGCCGCCAGACUUCUGCGACCAAGCUCGCGACGGGCUCCUGUGGCGCGCGAGCGUGCGGCCUGCAGAUGUCUUUGUCGAGGGCACGGACGGUCUAUACAUUGAGUGACAGAGCGUCGUGAAGGCAGGUGGGAGAAGGCUUCGCACGCGCCUUUCCGCGUGUGGCUCCCGCGCCUCCCCUCCCUCGCUUUCUCGAGCACGCGAUCCUUUCCACCCAGAUACGCUGCGCCUCUCUUCUGUCACCCACCGCCUUUCUGCUCUGCCGUCGAGGGGAGAACACCCUUCUCAGCGCGUGGUAUUCCAAGUUCCGGUGCGCCCCCACCCCCCACUCUGUGAGUGCGUGGGAGGAAGCCAGGCAGAGCCCCUCCCCCCAUCCCUGCCACCAUUCCCCCAUUGCCGCAUCACCCUUCACCACGACAGGGUCAAGUCCUAGAUGGCGCUGCGCAAACGCUUGCCGCGACAGUGCGCGCGUCUGUGCCACCCAUGUGCUGGGCAGGGCGCCCGCGUGGGUCGUGUGUGUCUCCCUCGGGCCCCCGCUGUCCACCGGUGGGUGGCCCCGAGGCGACCUGCGAGGCGGAGGGGUGGGAGGGCAGAGUGUGAGGGGCAGGGGGGCCGCGCGCUCAGCCGACCGAGUCGGCGCACGGCCGUCAUACGCGGAAAGACCCCUAAGGCACCGUAAUCGCCGUUGGGAGGGAGGAGCCACACGGCUUUGUGAGCACGUGGAUGGAUGUAAGGAUUCCUACUGCUUGUUCCGCAGCCCAUUAAGCACCCUCCCGUCCCGCGCUCUCCCUUGCAGAGCUCAUGCGUGUACUCACGCAAGCAUCAUCAUCAUCUCCUCGCCCUCUCUCCCUCCUCCUUCCUUCUCUUUCCUGCUCCGUGCAG